GUAAUUUCCAAGCGAUUCCUGACGUUAUAGCAUUGCUAUAAUAAAUGGACUAUAAUUCACAAUUACUCAGAGUAUAAUUUAAUCGAAUAAACCCCUCUGUACAUUCGAGAGAAAAAUCCCCCGUCCGAACAUUCAUCAAAUGGC